AGACAUUAUUUGACACAUAAAUAAAAUUGGGUUGGGUCAUCACAAUUCAAGCCCAGAUGAAAAGAACCUCCAAAUCACCACCUAGUCAUGAGACAGAGGAUCGAAAUCCCUAGUGUAGUUAUAAUGCCAUGUCCUGCCGCUUGAGAUACUCAUUCAUAGUAACAGCGAUAAAAUAAAAAAUGGACCUAGAUUCGUUAAUCUGAAGGCACUUCUCAGUGAGACGGUGGUUCUUGUUGUCACGUUACAUUCGAAUUCGAUUAUGCUACAAACGCACACCAUCUUUCCUGCUUCUAAGUUGAAUUUGGAUCCAGCAUGUCCAAUUAUCCACCCUACUCCAGAAAAUAUUUUGACCACGAUAACGCUAAGUUUCCUCACCGUUCUUUCUUCAAGGUUAUUACUCGGAGCUUCCUCACCAGUAACCGGAAGCGUGAUUGUAUUAGCUGUAGCACCGGAAAGUUUCUCUUCUUGAUAUUGAUCUUUGGUGUAGCAUACCUUAUGCUGACACAUGAUACAAUUCCAAGUCGUGUAGUUUCUCGAGAUCAAGUAUUUGGAAUUAGAAAGAAUGAAGAAAAUGAGGGAUUACUCUCCGCAGUUGCGCAUGGACAAUAACUUUGGUCUUAAAAAAGUCCACAUUUGUAUAUAUAAUCAUUUAAUCAAAGUUUCACCGCUACAAAGUUUCUGUGUUCCACUUUUCGCCACCGGAUCUGCCAUGACGGCCAUUUUCUGCUGCCCGUGAUAGACCAGCCACAGACCUGAUGGGAAUAUUUUACUACUUUAAAAUUUUAAUUAAAAGGGACCGUUUGAGGAAGCAUCAAUGCAAGCUAGUGGACUUCAAUUUUAACAAAGGUUAUUACUCGGAGUUUCCUCACCAGUAACCGGAAGCGUGAUUGUAUUAGCUGUAGCACCGGAAAGUUUCUCUUCUUGAUAUUGAUCUUUUGUGUAGCAUACCUUAUGCUGACACAUGAUACAAUUCCAAGUCGUGUAGUUUCUCGAGAUCAAGUAUUUGGAAUUAGAAAGAAUGAAGAAAAUGAGGGAUUACUCUCCGCAGUUGCGCAUGGACAAUAACUUUGGUCUUAAAAAAGUCCACAUUUGUAUAUAUAAUCAUUUAAUCAAAGUUUCACCGCUACAAAGUUUCUGUGUUCCACUUUUCGCCACCGGAUCUGCCAUGACGGCCAUUUUCUGCUGCCCGUGAUAGACCAGCCACAGACCUGAUGGGAAUAUUUUACUACUUUAAAAUUUUAAUUAAAAGGGACCGUUUGAGGAAGCAUCAAUGCAAGCUAGUGGACUUCAAUUUUAACAAAGGUCAUUGAGGUGGACAAGUUUACUAUGAUGUGUCGUUGUGAUCUUCCUGCCCGUGAUAUCUUCGCGCCUACUUGAUCCUGUGUUUGUCUACCCAUCAACAAUCCUUGGUAGGGAGAAGGCUAUUGUUGUAAAUCUAGAGCAAAUACGGUGUAUUAUUACAUCAGAUGAAGUUCUUCUGUUGAAUUCCCUUGAUAAAUAUGUAUUACAAUAUCUGAUUGAUCUCCAACGACGGUUGACAACAACUGGCGGAAGCGAGGUGGGCGAGGGCUCUUGAAGUUUCCGUGGAGGCGGCAUGCACAUUUCUUGACACCCAGUUCUAUUGCUCCUCAUUGUAGAGCAGGGGAAUGCUUUUGAUUGCGAAGAAGCCAAGACAUCACUAUUUCCCUGUGGGAUAUUCCUCAUUGGUGCUGAUAUAGAACCUUCAACUACUUGUUGUAGUGGUGUAAACAAUCUGAAAUCUUCAACACCCACCGUAGCUGACCGACGUGCUGCCUGUGAAUGCCUUAAAGAAGCGGCUAGUCACUUUCCUAACAUAAGAGAAGACUUGGCUGCCUCACUUCCCCAACUCUGCUGUGUUGACAUAAAUUUUACCAUAAACAAAAAUAUUAAUUGCAAGAACAUUUGUUGAAUUCCAUGGAGAAAAUAGCGUGCUGAACGGGAUGGACGCUUCUACAAAAAUAAUACAGUACAUCCUGUAAUAUACUACUAAUAUGUUCUAUUAUAUAUUGUUUAAAAUUUAAAAUUUGAUAUUAAUAAAAAUUAACAAUUACAUGAUUUA